GCGAGCGGCGGAUGGGUGAGUAACACGUGGGGAACCUGCCCCUAAGUCUGGGAUACCAUUUGGAAACAGGUGCUAAUACCGGAUAAUAAAGCAGAUCGCAUGAUCAGCUUUUGAAAGGCGGCGUAAGCUGUCGCUAAGGGAUGGCCCCGCGGUGCAUUAGCUAGUUGGUAAGGUAACGGCUUACCAAGGCGACGAUGCAUAGCCGAGUUGAGAGACUGAUCGGCCACAUUGGGACUGAGACACGGCCCAAACUCCUACGGGAGGCAGCAGUAGGGAAUCUUCCACAAUGGACGCAAGUCUGAUGGAGCAACGCCGCGUGAGUGAAGAAGGUUUUCGGAUCGCAAAGCUCUGUUGUUGGUGAAGAAGGAUAGAGGUAGUAACUGGCCUUUAUUUGACGGUAAUCAACCAGAAAGUCACGGCUAACUACGUGCCAGCAGCCGCGGUAAUACGUAGGUGGCAAGCGUUGUCCGGAUUUAUUGGGCGUAAAGCGAGCGCAGGCGGAAAAAUAAGUCUAAUGUGAAAGCCCUCGGCUUAACCGAGGAACUGCAUCGGAAACUGUUUUUCUUGAGUGCAGAAGAGGAGAGUGGAACUCCAUGUGUAGCGGUGGGAAUGCGUAGAUAUAUGGAAGAACACCAGUGGCGAAGGCGGCUCUCUGGUCUGCAACUGACGCUGAGGCUCGAAAGCAUGGGUAGCGAACAGGGAUUAGAUACCCCUGGUAGUCCAUGCCGUAAACGAUGAGUGCU
rnacentral:rRNA from 1 species